GGGUAAGUGAAAGUAAUUAGGUUAAGCAUUUAAGGGAUAUUUAUCUGAAGAACUCAUUAAGUAAUAUGGAAUUUAGGGGGUGAAAUUUAUAUUUUUUUGAUAUUACUUAUGAUCUUAGAUGUGAUCUGGUAAUGUAAAAGUGAAGUCAGAAAAGGAGAUUAGAUACCUCGUUAUUCUUCAAAAUAAUUUUAAUACUUGAGUAGUAAACAGUUAUAAGCUCGAAACUCAAAGAAUUUGGCGGUAUUUAAGUCACGUUAGAGGAACUUGCACUGUAAACGAUACACCACGAAUAUCUGUCUUUAUUUAGUAAUAUCAGCUUGUAUACCUCCAUUAACAGAUAGCUUUAAUAAAAUACUUUCUAAAUAAAUACAUUAUUUAAUAUAUUAGGUCAAGGUGCAGCUCAUGAUAAAGUAGAUGUGAGUUACAAUACAUUAUAUAGUAAACGGAUAGAGUCGGUGAAAGUCCGCUCAUUGAAGGAGGAUUUAAUUGUAAAUUGGGUAAAUCGAGCCUUUUUGAUAAAAGCUCUUAAAUAUGUACACAUCGCCCGUCGUUCUCGCUUU
rnacentral:rRNA from 1 species